UAAGUUAGUGGCGGACGGGUGAGUAACGCGUGGGUAACCUGCCUUGUACUGGGGGACAACAGUUGGAAACGACUGCUAAUACCGUAUAAGACCACAGCACCGCAUGGUGCAGGGGUAAAAACUCCGGUGGUACAGGAUGGACCCGCGUCUGAUUAGCUGGUUGGUGAGGUAACGGCUCACCAAGGCGACGAUCAGUAGCCGGCUUGAGAGAGUGAACGGCCACAUUGGGACUGAGAGACGGCCCAAACUCCUACGGGAGGCAGCAUG
rnacentral:rRNA from 1 species